rnacentral:rRNA from 1 species
UACGUAGGGGGCAAGCGUUGUCCGGAUUUAUUGGGCGUAAAGAGCGUGUAGGCGGUUAGGUAGGUCCGUUGUGAAAGCCCCGGGCUCAACCUGGGAAUGGCAAUGGAAACUGGCGGGCUAGAGUGUGGCAGAGGGGGGUGGAAUUCCGCGUGUAGCAGUGAAAUGCGUAGAGAUGCGGAGGAACACCGAUGGCGAAGGCAGCCCCCUGGGCUGACACUGACGCUCAGGCACGAAAGCGUGGGGAGCAAACAGG